GCCUCCGUAGCACAAUUGGCUAGCGCGUUCGGCUGUUAACCGUAAAGGUUGGUGGUUCGAGGCCACCCGGGGGCG
rnacentral:tRNA from 1 species